CAAGAUGGCUUCUUGGAGCCAAGGGAAACUGACUUGCGUUCAUGGUGAUGAGGGGAAAGCAGGCUGGUGGCAUAUCUGCAUGGCAUUUACUCAACAGUGGACACAGCUAAAGAGGCAUCAGAGACCAGAGAACAGCAGACACACCUGAACCGACACCAGUCAGCUCCUCUAGUCACUGCAAAGACACACAACACACCCAGGCUAGAUGCUGAAUAGAUCUAAACUGUGAAUGAACAUUUCUGCCUCCAGAGUGGUCACGAGGAGAGGCCUUGGCCGGCCUGCCUCCUGAGUCAAGGUCUUAUUGACAGGACAGCUUUCAAGUUCACCGAGGUGUGGUCCAGAGCAAGCAGUGACAGCUGGCCUUGGCAGGAUUGUGAACGGCUUCACUGGAGAACCACCCGUGAGGGUUUGUCAGAAGCUCUGUAUGAGGUGCGGGCCUAACACACUGCACAUACAGGUGAGUUCUCACAUCACAAUGGAGAGCUGUCAGGCAAACAGAAAGAGCUGUGUACAGAGUGUGUAUAUGUCAAGAGAAAGCUCAGAGACAAGAUCAACUGUGGGCUACGGCUGACAGAAUGAAGAGCCAUAUCGGAGGAGAUAUACCUGGGCCAGGUGUGGGGUAUGAAGAGGAUGAACUAACUUUGUGAACUUGGACUUAACCUCAUGAUGCCUCCAUUUCCCUCAUCCAUAAAAUAUGUAUAAUAAUGACUUAGGGUUAAUAAAA